AGCUGUAAGGACCUGGCAAUUGUUGGAUAUGGGAAUUCCCAAUUCAAGUGACUUCAUAUGAAGGGACAGAAUAUGCUAUCAAUCAUCACCCAUGACUGACAUGGGAACACUGCAUCUGGCUAAUAGGAGAGAGUUCUGUGGACUUUCAAGAAGAUUGACUGUUUUCAGAAAAGCAGAGGUGCCUAUUUAAUCAAGUACAAUUGGUCUUGCACUGAAGAGGGAAAU